rnacentral:rRNA from 1 species
AAAAAAGAAGAAGCGGGAAUACGUAGGGUGCGAGCGUUAAUCGGAAUUACUGGGCGUAAAGCGUGCGCAGGCGGUCUUGUAAGACAGUCGUGAAAUCCCUGGGCUUAACCUAGGAACUGCGAUUGUGACUGCAAGGCUAGAGUGUGUCAGAGGGGGGUGGAAUUCCACGUGUAGCAGUGAAAUGCGUAGAGAUGUGGAGGAACACCGAUGGCGAAGGCAGCCCCCUGGGAUAACACUGACGCUCAUGCACGAAAGCGUGGGGAGCAAACAGGAUUAGAUACCCUGGUAGUCCACGCCCUAAACGAUGUCAACUGGUUGUUGGAAGGGUAACCUUUUAGUAACGAAGCUAACGCGUGAAGUUGACCGCCUGGGGAGUACGGUCGCAAGAUUAAAACUCAAAGGAAUUGACGG